AAUAGAAGAAGUCCCCCCAAAAUUUUAAUUUUCCACCCUUUUUUUUCACACUUAACUUUUUGUUUAACCUAGCAGAAGUGAUAAGCUCAUACAUACACUUCACUUCACCACAUCUCUACUUUUAACCCUAGCUAGAAGCCGUCGCACCCAGCGGCACUAUUCAUCACUGCCGAUUGCGAUAACCGUCGCACCACCCAGCUCGCCUUCAUCUAACCCUCACACCCAGCCCUCUCUGCGUCGCACCCUAGUUGUUUCUCAACGGUCUCUCGCACCAUCAACGCUGCUCCGUCACGCACCCAGGAAUCGGCUCUGCUCUGUCCACGCACCCUCGUUGGACUCAGAACCUCCAUCGACGAGGAGAAGAGGAAGAGGAAAACCUUAGAGGAGAACCCCUCCGCCGAUUCCGCAAUCGAAGCUUUGGAGAAAAAGAGGAAGUACCACGAGUCAAUUGAAGAGGAGAAACAAGACUCACACCCUCUGUGUGAGGUGCGGCCACCGCAGCUUUCACCUCCAGAAGAGUCGCUGCUCCGCCUGCGCUUCCCCUACUGCACGCAAGAUGAAAUUGUUUUCAGGUUACACUGAAACACUUGACCAGAAAUCUGAUAUUGUGGUCCUUGAAGAUGAUCAUGGCCUCUAUGCAAUUGAUAUUCUAGACCCAUCCUUGUUUACGAAAUGUAUACAUUUGACCGAGGUAUAUCAUUUCCAUGAUAUGAUUGACAUGUUUGUUGGGUGUGGCUACAAGAAAGGAACCACAUUGCUUGGUUAUGGUUAUGACUUCAAGCAAAUCAAUAGAAUUGACAAGCUGAUGGAUGGCCUUAAAGCCAAGUUGUAAACUGCUUGCAAAGCCACUGGUGGAAGGAAAGUUAACUUGUUACUUUUCUUUGUUGAUGUUAUUUCUGACUUGAAUGUAGCUCUAAUUAAUUUUUAUGAAUAUGUAUUUGUUUAAUUGUGUAGUUUCUCAGUGCUAGGAGUAUUAAUGCAUUCCGUUAGUGCUCACUGUUGGCUAAAACAAUGCUGCAGGUGUAAUAUGACCUUGUAUUGCCUGUGAUGAAUGUGUUUUUUUUCUUUUCCUUUUAACCAAUAAUCAUUGAUCACAUACACACUACUUUUGCUGUAUAUUGCCACAAGACUACGAGAGCAUAGGUUUUGUCUUCUCCUCAUAAAUUUGGAAAGAAAUGACUAUAAGCUUUUUCACCUAAGGGAUAUAUAUGGUUUGGUUAGGUUUUGUGUACUAAAUUAUAGGUACAAGGGGGAAGGUCCUGGUUCUCUGGAUCUGAAAGGUGAUAGAAAAGAGCAAAUAAUAUAAGCUCGUGAUAUGUAUGUUGGUUUUGGUUGAUUGCCAUGUUAUGAAAUUAGUGUAGCUAGUGGUAUGUGACUUGAGGGAAUAGAGGUCGUUUAAAUGUGUAUUGCAUUUGGAGGCAGGUUGAGAAAAAAAAAAGACAUGGCGUUUCCAGCGGCAGUUUUUAUUCUUCCUGCAGGCACUCUUUUCAUUCUCUCAGGCCUUAUUGUUAACGCAAUGUAGGUAAUUAAUUAAGAUCCAAUCUGCAAAUUGCGUUGUUAUAUAUCCUUUCGCUUUUUUGGUUUAUGUUUUAUUAGUUCAUUUGAUAUAUCGUAGUAAAUAUCCAUUUUUUUUAACUGAGAUAGAUUUCAUUUCAAUCCAAUAUGAAAUGCCAAUAGGCACUGAGGCAGAGAAUAAAAAAUGCCAAUAGCAAUGCAGAUUGCUAGGGAGUUCCAUUACAAAUAAAUCACAAAACUCCUCCGCAACCAGCUGCUCGCCUCUAUCUCGUGGUUCUGCUAGCCUCUGUCUCGCGGUUCUGCUCGCCGUGCUGCUCGAAGGAUGAUGAGAGCCACAAUCACACACAGAGAGUUUUAAAGCAAAUGGUAGCAAGAGUUCUUCCCACAUCAACUUUUUGUUAAUCAUAGUUCUGCUGUAUAUCACUUUUUGGUUUUCCAUCCUUCAUAUCUUUGGGAAUAUUACAGUUUUAAUUUAAAUUAUUAUUAUAGCAUGUAAAUAAUUCAUGUAAAUCAAUAAAAAAUCAAUUCUUAUGC